rnacentral:hammerhead_ribozyme from 1 species
AUCCAGCUGAAGAGUCUGAAAUAGGACAAAACGCACAUCCUGGAU